rnacentral:rRNA from 1 species
CGGUCCAGACUCCUACGGGAGGCAGCAGUGGGGAAUAUUGGGCAAUGGGGGAAACCCUGACCCAGCGACGCCGCGUGAGUGAAGAAAUCCCUCGGGAUGUAAAACUCUGUUGUGUGGGAAGAUAAUGACGGUACCACACGAGGAAGCCCCGGCAAACUACGUGCCAGCAGCCGCAGUAA